UUUGUUGUUCUUCACAAUGAGUUGGAGCUUUCUUUGGUCAACAGCAGAUGUGACUAAGAUGAUCACCCUGUUUCACUUAGAGCAGUGGAUCACAAAGUGUGGUCCUCAGGCCACACAGCUCGGCAUCACCUGCGAACUAGGAAAUGCAAGUUCUUAAGCAACCCCACCCAGACCUACUGAAUUGGAAGUGCUGAGGAUGGGUUCUGUGGUUGAACAAGCUCUGCAGAGGAGGAAACUGAAGCACAGAGAAGGUAACCUACUUGCACCAGGACAUACAUCUAGGAAUUAGCAGAUCUCAGAGCGGAACGCAGGUUUCCUGCUUGUUUCCAGUGACCAGGGACAAGACCUGGCUUAAUACUCUCCUCAUUUCUUUCCAUUUACAAGGACAAAGGCUGUUUUGCCACUGACAUGGGAUCUCCUCUUUCAUGAUGGAUCACAUUUCCAGUAAACUAGAGGCUUACUAUGCCAUGGAAAAGGCAGAUAUAUACAUUACAAGACAGUGAUAACAAGCGGAUACUAAUAAAACGCACAGACAUCCCCCCUCAUGCUGCCAAGACUAUAUACCAUUUUCUUUCCAUUACAUCCAUUUUUUUCUCCCCUUUUGUGAGCAUUAAUCAAAGAAAUGCAAAGAGCUCAUUAAAGUGAUAGAUUGACUGAAAAUGUAACCACCUUUUCAUUAUAAACAGUUUCUUUAUGUU